rnacentral:rRNA from 1 species
UACGUAGGGCGCGAGCGUUGUCCGGAAUUAUUGGGCGUAAAGAGCUCGUAGGCGGCCGGUUGCGUCUGCUGUGAAAUCCCGGGGCGUUAACCCCGGGCGUGCAGUGGAUACGGGCCGGCUGGAGGCAGGCAGGGGAGAAUGGAAUUCCCGGUGUAGCGGUGAAAUGCGCAGAUAUCGGGAGGAACACCGGUGGCGAAGGCGGUUCUCUGGGCCUGUACUGACGCUGAGGAGCGAAAGCGUGGGGAGCGAACAGG